rnacentral:rRNA from 1 species
UCUCAAAGAUUAAGCCAUGCAUGUCUCAGUACAAGCCUCAUUAAGGUGAAACCGCGAAAGGCUCAUUAAAUCAGUUAUGGUUCCUUAGAUCGUACCCACAUUUACUUGGAUAACUGUGGUAAUUCUAGAGCUAAUACAUGCAAACAGAGUUCCGACCGGAGACGGGAGGAAUGCUUUUAUUAGAUCAAAACCAAUCGGCGGCGGGCGCGUCCGCGCGCCCGUUCGCCGCUCAACCUGGUGACUCUGAAUAACUUUCGGCUGAUCGCACGGUCCAGCACCGGCGACGCAUCUUUCAAAUGUCUGCCUUAUCAACUGUCGAUGGUAGGUUCUGCGCCUACCAUGGUCGUAACGGGUAACGGGGAAUCAGGGUUCGAUUCCGGAGAGGGAGCCUGAGAAACGGCUACCACAUCCAAGGAAGGCAGCAGGCGCGCAAAUUACCCACUCCCGGCACGGGGAGGUAGUGACGAAAAAUAACGAUACGGGACUCAUCCGAGGCCCCGUAAUCGGAAUGAGUACACUUUAAAUCCUUUAACGAGGAUCCAUUGGAGGGCAAGUCUGGUGCCA